GCUAAUGCUGUAUAUAUGGCUUGUGUCCAGGCUCUCCUGUGCCCAGAGAGAGAAUAAAGCCAUGUUGAAACUCUCCACAAUUCCUCAAGUGUUUUUCCAACUACCCGCCACUCGCCUGACUCCCCUUGGAUCUCAGUUAGAACCUGACAUUUGGCGUCAUGAACAGAUCCUGAGAUUUAGAAGCAGUGGCACCCUUCUUGUGGCAACAUUUGGCUGCAUAUGGUUGGGCCAUCAACAAAUCCAAGGUCCAAGGGCCUGGAUUAUCUGCGAGAUUCUUGGGAGUUAUCUGGUCAGAUACAAGACUCAAAGGAACCAUGGGGAGCUGAUAAAGUGUGGCACCAUCUCCCAGGGCAAAAGCCCUUGGUGUCUGCAUUGUUAUCCAGAGAUGAAAGGUUAGACUGUAUUUUGCCUGAGGGACAUGAUUUAACUCUGUUAGUACCUGUGCCUGCUCUGUCAUUUCGACUGUAGGUUAACAUGCUCCAACUGCAUUGUGGACUGGGCCCACACCUUCACUGAGGUGACCAAAGUUUCCAACUGUUGGAUCUGCACCAUCCUUCCAGGAGCAGCUGCAGAUGGCUUGCCUUGGCACAUACAUUCAGCAUCUGCAGAGAAUUAGACAUGGCUGGAGACUUUGAGUCCCAUGGCCGACACCUGGAAUGCAACAGGGCAAGCUGCAGACAAAGAAUGCCGCAAGACCCAUAGCAUGCCUGUCCCAUCUUGCCUGUAGCAUUUAUGAUGGGAGGGGCUGGCUAGUGGGGAAAUAUGUAGUACCCCCAGCUCAGGGAUGGCAGUGCAUAGAGCAACACUGGGGUAACACCACUGUGGAAUGGCUACCCUGCAAGGCCUGUGUAAACAUAACACAUGUCACCACACCGAAGAUAUGGUGGAACAUGCGGCCCCACCCAAGGUCAGGCCCUGAUGGAUUUUAUGAUCCCUGGGAGUUUAUGGGUCAUUGAGGACACAGGGUGUCCUUACCUAGCAGCAGACUGGCCUGGACGUUGUACCUGAGUUUGGACUUACGUACCUGGCACUCUUCUCCCUGCUUUGCCCAGAUGCCAGAAUAACUGGGAGGUGCUAUGCUCUCACUUUUUGUGAGUGUGAGGAGGCCCCUGGUGGUUCUUCACCUUGGAAGUGACUAUCCCUGGAAUGGGUGUCAUAACUGUAAAAGCAGAAGUUACUGCUUUUGCAGAGCACACUGCUCGGGCUCUGAAUCACACCCGAGGGGCCCUCCUCCUGUUAAUGGGUGCAGUUGAUCAGAUCAGGAAAGCGGUGUUGCAAAACCGAAUGGCCUUAGACAUAGUAACUGCUGCCCAAGGAGGCAUCUGUGCCCUUUUAGGAACACAAUGUUGUACCUUUAUCCCUGACAGUCAACAGAACAUAACAGCAGCCCUUCAAGGGGUCUCAUGGGAGAAUAAGUUUCUAGGGAGCCUUACUGAUGAACCCCUGCAGAGAUGGAGGGGCAUCCCUAGGCUCUGGCCUAUGCUGGGCCCCAAUAGUUAUAAAUAGUGUAACUGGGAUCCUAGUAGCUUUUGCUCUCUGUAUUGUUGUUGUGGGUUAUAGAUUCAGGGCUCUGCCCUAUGGGCACAUGUCUCUGCCCAGAGGACACUCUUGGCCUAGGGAGUGGAGGGUAAGGAAAAUGGCUGCACUUUAGUCAGGAAUAAGCUGAGGCAGCCUUCCAAAGCAGCAUAACUCAGUGGGUUUGGAGCACAGGUGCACAGCCCUGCACAUUAUGUAACCACACCAUGUGAGGUGCAUUAGGUGAUCACACACGUGUGCUCGUGUUUUGCUCAGAACCACUAUUGUCUGUAAAAGGUAUAAUUACCCUGCUAAAGCUGUACAUAUGGCUCGCCCCCAGGCUCACUCAUGCCCAGACUCACUCGCACUUAGAGAGAGUAAAGCCAUGUCAAAACUGUCUACAAUUCCUUGAGUGUUUCUCCAGCUAACCGCCACUCACCCCACCAACUCCCCUGGGACCCCAGUUAGAACCUGACACCACCCCCUUUCCCUGUAAGAGGAGUGCAUUCCUGCCCACUGCCAUGCAGCUUUCUAUGUCCCCAGUGGGAGGCCCAUGCAUCCGUGUCCCAUCAGCUUUCGGCUUUGACCAAAGGAACAAAAGCAGACAUGACGGAGGCCACAUCCAAGUAGAAACUCUAAGAGGCAGGACAAGUGUCCACAGUACUCCUGGUCUUUCUGCUAUGGGAAUAGCAUAUCCCACUUAGGAAGCUGUUCCUUCAGCUUGAGUCCCUGAAUGGGAAACUGCUGCAGCCGAAGAGAGCUUCAAUCAAUGCAUAGCCUCCCUUUAAUAAACCUUGUGGUAGAAA
rnacentral:lncRNA from 1 species